CAGGGGUGGGCAGUGUUGGUGGUCUCCUCCGCUCUGCAGCCUCAGGAGUGCCCACCUGAUCAGGAGGUGAGGUCUCUCUCCCACGGGGUUUGGGAGCAGAGAGCUGCUGCGGGCCGGGAUCCGCGGGUGUGGGACUUCCGGUAAACACAGGAAGUGCCCGGUCCUAGAGGAAUUUUGCCUCUGUGUGUCCUGAGUUCACCAGGCAGGUUUCUUGCAGGGGAAAAGUUGGUCCUACCUGCGGUUCCAAGGCUCAAGUUUGCUCGUGGGGUACUGCCUAAGUCCUCUCCGCUGUGGCAGCAACCAGGAAGAUCUGCGCCGCUCUUUCCGGGAGCCUCCGUGCACCAGGGUUCCAGAUGGCGUUUGGUGUUUUCCUCUGGCGUCUGGAUGUGCACAGAGUGCAGUCUCUUCUGGUUUCCCAGGCGUGUCUGCCUCUCUGAAGGUUUAGCUCUCCCUCCUACGGGAUUUGGGUGCAGAGAACUGUUUAUCCGGUCUGUUUCCUUCAGGUUCCGGCGGUGUCUCCCUGACUUCUCUUUUAACUCAUUUUCUCUUUCUUCUUGAAACUCUUAGUGUUCCAAGAUGGUAUCAAUCUUGAAAUCCCUUGCUCUACUGAAUUAAGCAUUAAGCAUUUUUAAAUCCUAUUUGUUCCCACAUUCCUAACCCAUUUAUCUGUCCCUCUUGAUGUGAUUCCAUCUCCCUGAAUCACCUGGAUCAAACGGCCUUCCACAUGCAAAGCGCCAAGUAUGGCUGCUGUCUUUACGCCUGGUACUCUUUGGAGUUUGUGCAUCCUUCCUGGUGCUCUUUAUGGCCCUAGGCCAUUUUUCCUAACUUCUUUUUCUUUCCCCAGUCUUCUUCCCAUCAUCAGUGGCUGUCAGUCCUAAUGCAGUGAACCACAGGGGUUCUGGCCUUGGUCUGUCUCUCUGGAUGCACAAGCUAAUUGACCAAUGUUUUUUUUAUUGCUAGUUCUGAUGUAGCUCUAGGUCUCUUCAAGUUUGGAUUUGAAAUGCAGAUGCUGAGCAACUAUGGCUGUGAAAUGGCUUGAGUUUCCUUUCUUGCUGUAAGAGGAAGGAUUUAUUUUGGCUCACGCUUUGAGAGAGUAUUCUUAUUCCUGGUACUUUCCGGGGCUUGCAUAUCCUUCCUGAGCCUCAUGCUGGGGAAGCCAUGGAGGCAGGCAUGUGAGGCAGCUGGUCACACUGCAUCUGCAGUCAGGAAGCAGAGUGAGAGAGAGAGAGAGAGGAAUUCUCCUCAUGCUCAGCUCUCUUUCUACUGUUUAUUCCGUUCAGGACCCCCGCCCACAGAAGGGUGGCGCUACAUUUAGGGUGGGUUCUCCCAUCUCCACUAACCAUUCUAGAAAGCUUCUCAUUGAGACCCCUGGAGGUGUCUCAGUUCUUCUGUCACUAGAUGUUGUGAAGCUGAUGAUCAAUCCUAACCCUCAGAGGGCUAAACGUGGGUCUCAGAAACAGGAAGUGCAGCAAAGGCUAGCAUUAACGGAGGGAUCGCUCCACUGGCCACCAAAGUGUCAUCUCAUUUAAGCCUUUGCUAUCUCAUUUAUUAUCAGUCAGGAAACAAGGCCUAGGGAGGAAGAAUAGAUCGCUGUUGGUUACUGUUAGUGAGUUUUGUAGCCAGCCUUUACGUCCUGGCCUUCUGGCACCUAAUGGCACUCUUUCUCAUGGUAUUGUGUUUCUUUUUCUUUAAAAACCAGAGGCAGACAGGUAGCUCUAAAACCUAGUUAGUCUAGCCCAUGUUACCUUUUGUGCCCUCUUCUGGCCAGGGUCCUAAUGGGAAGGCUGUGGCAGGGCCGUUAGGCUCAGCACACAGGCACACUGUCUCGAAUUAGCCUGGGUCAGCAGUUGCUGGCUUGGGUGUGAGCAGCCAUAUAAUGUCACGCAAUGUCAACCCUGAAAUACAUCUUGGGUAGGUUCCAGGGAGAUCCAGGGCCAACAGGACACCGAGAAAGCCAUGGGAAGUCUGGGAACCACUGUCGUCCCUUCCUGGAACCAAGAUACAGGGAUGUCAGGCAAAAGACCAGGACAAAGGGCGGAAGCUGGAGGCGGAAGCACAUCCUCUCUGAAGGCUCUACAUUCUUCUGCAACUCCCAAAACUACCUCAGCAGCUGGGAACCAAGCAGUCAAACACAUGGGCUGAUGGAGACCAUCUCAGGUCCAAGGCACAACAGGUGGCUUCAGUUCUGGCUGGAUCCAGGGAUCUCAGGUUCAGAGGUUCAGUCCAUUAUCAUGGCAGGAAGCAUGGCAGUGUCCAGGCUGGCAUGGCGCAGGAGAAGCUGAGAGUUCUGUAUCUUGUCAAACAAGAGAAACUGACUCCCAUGUGGCUAGGAGAAGGGUCUCAAAACCCACACCUACAGUGACACAUUUUCUCCAACAAGGCCACACCUACUCCAACAAGGCCACACCUCCUAGUAGUGCCCUUCCCUGGGCCAAGCAUAUAUAAACCAUCACAGAGUACUCCUGAGGAUCCCAAGCAGAGCUAUACAUUGUCUUUGCCAGCUGAGCCUGGAGUGAUGGCCCCACACAGAUGAUCAGUAUAAUAACUGACCAGGAAGAGCACACAGGCCCCGACGUCUCUAAACCUGGGAGACCUGCAGGAUUGUGCAAGAGCGACCUCUACUUGGGCCCAGAAAACAAGACAAACAGCUUCUUUUCCAUGCACUGUGACUGACUCAUUUUCUAAGAAGCCCAGCCAUUUUUUGGGUGGUUUGGAAACCAAUCCAGGACUGAGUGAAGCAAGGAAGACACAGAGCAGACGGCAGCAUCAUUGACCCCCACUUUACUCUCCAUAUAAAGCACAGAACUCAGCCCCUGAGCCUGGGGAUGGGACCAUCAUAAGACCCCCCCCCCCUUCUUCAUUCCAAUGUACUUGUCUGCCCAGACCCCCAGAGGUCACACUUAUAGACGAGCCUUAAUCAGGACAUUCUAAUCUGCCCAAGCCUUAGUUUGAGUCAUGAAUUAUUAAGGAGAUUCAAUAGAAGAGAGAAAGGACUUGCCUGCCACUGGGAUGCUUGAGUCUAAACCAUAUAGCCCUGUGUUCUACCAUUAUUUGGAAAGACGGGGUCCUUCGGAGUUUAGAAGGACUGUCCAUAAAGUAGAGCUCUUUUGAGUUGUUGCUGUGAGAACUGCGUAAGAGAAUACUUCUGCCCCUGCCACCCAUCACACACCUAGCAAAAGUAUUAGCUGCCUUCUCCUUCCUGGCUCAUUCCCUCAUGAGUGCCAAGAAGAGAUAUUUGGAUCUGAAGAUAUCAAAUUAUUUCAAGCACAAAUCUUUUCCAGGUUCCUGUUUUAGAAACUGGGAUCAGAAAACACAGCCUCUCAGGUUGUUAUGAGACUGACCGAGUCGACAUGAGUACUGUGCCAGCCCAGCUCCGGAAGUUCUCAGCUUUGUGGCUGGUUAUAAAUAGUUCUUCUCUGUGUGGGUGAUGCCUCCUUGGCUGGUGCUGUGUGUGCUGUGUGGUCAAGGCUGAACUGACUCACCCUGGAGUGACAGAUCUAGGUAGUGACACCCAAGGUAGCUGGGUAGAAAUAGCCGGGCUCUUUAUUAAAACCAAGAGACAGAUUGGAUGUUCUUGUGACAGGUGCCUUGGGGCUUUGAUAGGCCCAGAGAAGGAGAGGGGAGAUGCUUGUGGCUACCAAGUCAUAGGAAAAUGGGAUGCCCCUACAAUUUUCCUAGACAAAGAAACUUGUAGGGUGUGCUGUUUCUUUUAUGAGGACAUAGAUAAAUGGCAGCUGGGAAGAUACUCCUCCUUCUUGUGGGGACAAGGGGACUGGGCCGGGCAUCCUAGAGCCUGUUUCUGGCCAAGUCAGACAAUAUUUGAUUUCUUCCCAGGAAGUAGAGAAGAUGGGUGAGCCUCAAGCCCAGUGUACCUUCUAUAACUGUAUUCUUUACAAAAUUCUACAAGUGUGUGUGUGUGUGUGUGUGUGUGUGUGUGUGUGUGUGUGUGUGUGUAUCUGGGGCUGGGAGCUGGGAUGGGCACACAGCCCACUGGAUGUUCAGGAAGAGAGAGGUUCAAAGAAAGCUUGUGAAGGAGGCCACAUUUGAACAGAAUUGUAGGCAGAAAUCAGGGGAUAAAACAAGCAUCUCACUUCUCUAACUCCCCCUCAUUCUUUGAUCUCUACCAACAGAUUCCCACACAGUAUGAACCUACUUUCAUUGAGGUCAUCAUUGACCUUCUUAUGGUAAAUCCAAAGCUCCCCUUUAAACUAAAGGGAAUGUCCACUUGAUUUGAAGUUCACUUUUCUCUUGACUCCUGUUCUUUUCCUGCCUCUCUAGCUGUCUUUUUCCCAUUUCCAUUGUGACUUUAUCUGUUCUAUCUCCCUAACUAUUUACCUUCCAUCUAUCCAUCUCUCCUCCAUCUUUACAACAAAGAGACUUUAAUGGAAGCAAUGUUUACAGAGUGUGGAAGUUCCACAAGGUGGGACUAACACCACGGAACCAUCAGUAGCUUUGGGCCUGAAGACUGACUGUUUACUAGACUCCAGAAAUUUGAGGCUAGGGAAAGUAGCUUGGUGGUAGAAUGCUUACCUAGCAUGUACAAGGCCCUGGGUUCAAUUCCUGGUACCGUGGAAAUAAAAACGAAGGAACAAACUUCUAGAAAGUGAAGCUGUGAGGGGCUUCCUGUCAGGGGCUGAGCCUUUGGCAGAGGAACGAAACUACCUAGGGGGCAGCCUCCUUCCUUGACUUUCCUCCUCAUCCCUUCUGAGGUUCCCAACAUCAUAAAUGUGGGCUGCCUCUAAGCUAGAGCCCUCCUCUGAUUAUACACCCUUAUCCCAGAGACUCUUUCUUACGGCAGUGGCAAUGUAGCCCAUUUUCUUCUCUUCCAGCAACUGGAGUUGACCUGCCUUCUUCCUGGGCAUCUCUGUUUUUCAGACACCAUCAACUCAGGCAGUCCACAGGUCAUCAUGCCUUCCCCUCAUGCUGUCCCUUUCCUGUCUUCCUUUCUACUGUGGCUACCUUGUCCUUUGUCAUGGAUGAUGUCUUAUCAAGAAUCAUCUAACCUCUUCCAGCAACACUCUUGUCUCUGCUGGUAGGGGAACCAUCAGGGUUCUUUCUAAAAGAUCACCUCUAACAUCACUUUACUCCUACAAGUUUUUCUACUCAGCUCGUUACAUCCCAGAUGAUGACCUUGGCCUGGUGCUAUCUCUGCUCACCUCUGUUCACCUCCUCCCCUGUUUCCAUUCCCCCUCCUUGGCACCUGUGUACCCUUUACUCAGCUGGGUCAUUAGCAGAUCUCCCAGAUGCUUACAGGUUCAUGCUCUUGUGCCUUCUCACAGACCGGAACUUCCUCCCUUCACCUCCCACAGCAAAGGCCUCAGCCCUUCCUCAUCCCAUUGCACUCCUCCUUUCUGGAAAGCACUCCCACAGCCCAUGCUCAACAGGGGUUGCCUAGAGCCCAGGAUCUUCAUCUCUUCCUUUCUUUAGUUAUCUAGGUAAGUUCUCUGACCACCCCUUGCAUUUGGGACCCAGCAUUGGCUCUGUGUUUGCUGAGAGCAGGAACAUGUGGAGCCUCUACAUUACAAGGACAAGCAUGGUGUGGUGCCUUUCUCUAGGCCCUCAGUUGAGUUUUCAAUUUCUCUAAAAUUUCGCCUCCCUCUUCUAUCAACCUCACCUCCUAGGGCCCACUUCCCACUUCCGGUUCUAGCAACACUCAUCUGGCCUGGCACAGACACAUCCCACUCUUUCAAGCACCAAUUAUCCUGUGCUCAUGACUGAUUCCUCCACUCCCCACCCCCCACUUCAAUGGGGAGUGCCUCCUUGCUCUUCAAGGCCUGUGUCUGCAAGCUGGUUUCUGACAGGAAUGAUGCCUUGUCCCUGUGGAUCCUUAGGAAAGCUUGUCACCUCAUGCCGGAUGUGCUGUAGGAUGGGGGGAUGUGUAUGAUUAAGUUAACCAAAGUUUAAUGCAAUGCAAUACAGUCUUCUCUGUAAUAUGUAAUAUUAUAUAUGCUUCACUGCUUCACGCAUAUCAGCUGGUUUGAUUUGUGCAACAAUGCUAUAAAGAAAAUACUGUUAUUGUUCCCAUCUUAUGGUUUAUAACACUGAAGCACAGCAUGUUACUCACUUUUGUCACUGUGAUGAAUUACUUAAUAAGAAGCAGCAUAAGAAUUGGAGGGUUCCUUACGGUGGGAAGGCAUAGUGGUGGGAGAAUUCCCAAGGUGUUUGCUUACAUCUCCGAGUACCAGGGAGCAGAGAUGGGACAGGAAGUGGAGCCCGACUAUAAACAGAGGCAUAUGUCCUCCAGCUAGGCUCCACCUCCCCAAAGUUCCAUACCUUCUUCCAACAGAGCCACCAACAAGAACCAAUUGUUUAAACAUGUCUGAGGAGGUGGGGCAUUUGUCACUCAAACCCUAACUUAUGCAGAAGUUAGUUAAACUGUCCAAAGCUACAUGGCUAGAACAUUCCACAGAUAGGAUUUGAACCUAAGUAAUCUGGUUUUGCCAUGGGAACCUAAAACUGGGACUUAGACAGAGGGGUUUUGAUUAUCUCACUGUGGAGGGUGACCUUGACUUUGCAGACCUGGUAAGCUGUAGAAGGCCUUCAAGUUCUCGUAGUGGGUAGUCUUCAGGUGGCUUUGGAUUGUACUGUGUACACAGGAGAAGCUGUGGGAUUGGGGUAGGGACCACUCCCUGGGUCCUAGUAGUAGAAGGGUGGUUUCCUCUUUUAUCAAAUUUGUGAGUAGGAGAAGACAAUCAGUUGUUUGGCAUUUUCCUCCCUUUCCUGGAAGUGCCAAUGCUGGGUGAAGAGAAGCUUUAAGAAGCUCUGUGGGUGGCUAGAAACAUCUGGCAUGGGGUUUGCUAAGCAACUCCAGAGAUCUGCCUUCUGGAGAAGCCUGAGAACUGGCCUGGCCUUCUUUGCCAGUAAAGGACAUGGCUUCCUUAAAACACUUGUAUCCUGUGCCUUCCAGUCUUCUCCUGGUUGGCCUUGAGUGGUGAGUGUGAACACUUAGAAUAUUAUCAAAGCCAGACAGUAUUUGCUAUGGGCUCUCUCUGUGGACCCUGGGACCAGCCACUAGACACUUUGACUUGGCAUUUUGGAUAUUCCCAACCUGAUCUUUAAUGAGUCUAAUUUACUGUGUGGAUGACCAUGAGAACAGAAGGAAGGAGGGAAGUUGAGAUGUAUUGUAGGCUGAAUUUAUGAAUUUCAAAUAAUCUAUUGAAGUCAGAAUCCCCAUGGCCUCAGAAUGUACCCGUAUGGGGGAAUGGGCCCCUUGAAGAAGUAUGUAAUAUUUACUGAUGCCAUUGGGGUCAUAAUGCUUACUGAGAUCAUUGGGGGGAAUAUUAAUCUGAGAACUGGGUCUUCAGCAAAAGAGGGAACUUGGAUCUAGAUUCCAUAUAUAAGAAUACAGGAAGAAGCCAGCCAUGAGGCAGCCCAGGAGAGUCAAAGCAAGCCUACUUAUACUCUGAUCUUGGACUUCAGCCUCCAGAAUUACAAGAACGUAGAUCUUGGUUGCCUAAGUCAUCCUGAUACAACAUCUGCUUCUGUAAGCUCUAACAAGCUAUUAGAAGGUGACACCAUGGACAUCUCAUUCGCUGUGCCCCCCAGUCAUGGCACUUCUGUUUCCAUGGGGUCAGCCUAGCCAAACAGGAAGGGAUUUCUGGCUAGAGAGCGACUGGGUGUAGGUGACACUGGGCAUGGGACCUGCUGGGCUGUCAUCGCUAGACUGGUAGGCCUUGCCCUCAGGGAACUUCUAAUCCCAUGGGGAGACAAGUACAUUGUGAGCUAAGUACCUAUGAGUCACUCAGUAAUGAAACAGACGAAUGAGACAGCAAGAGAGGUGAGAGUCCAUGGUCCAUGGUGAUGUCAUAGAGGGUUGCUUCAAAGGCUCAGCCUUGGGGCCUGUGCAUAACAAGUGUGAGGAUCUGAGUUCAAAUCCCCAGAGCCCUUAUAAAAAGCCAAGAAUGGGUAUGUGUGCCAGCAACUUCAGGGAUGAAAGGGGAAAACAAUAUAGAAAGGUACUUUGUGUCCUUGUCUGGCUUCUGCGUGUGUCUACACAAACAUGUACACGCAUACACUCUGGUGAAUGUGCCACCUCGGUACCAGGUAGCUUAUACCAUGUACACACAUACACACACACACACACACACACACACACACACACACACACACGAUGCAGAGAAACACAGGGUUUGCUCUGGCCCUGGCAACCAGAGACUGGAGGGAAGGGUACCCUAGAGGAGUUGUACACAUGUACAAAUGCUCAGAGGCAUUUAUAUUUACUAUGGAGACCAGGCCUGGAGCUAGAUCAGGGAGGCCACUGCACACAGGCUGGGUUAGGGAACCUCAGAAAGAAAACAGUUUUUUGUCAGGGUGCUGGCUCAGUGAUACUGUAGGCUAGUUGGGGGACCAUAGACAGGUCACUUAGUUUUCUGGGAUGUCAACGUUCUCUGCUGCAAAGUAGCAAUGAUCACAGCAUUUGCCUUGUAGGGGUGCUGUUAAGGGUAGGUCGGUAGCACCCUACAGUGUGGUUUGUCAUGUGGUCGGACCUACCCUGCUCUUGCUUGGCUCACUUGUCACAGCUGCUUUUCCCACUCCCCCUAGUGUGGCUGAAACAAUAACUUCAUCAACGUCUCUUAUGAGGCACGGAGGGAAGUCAGGUCAGCAGAGAAAGUCACUUGUCACCAAUUGGAAUUGAGAACUGAGAGUCUAGAGGCUCCUGGCAAACACACAAGAACUUGCCAGAAAACAUUUGGUACAGGGUUCCCGGAUGCCUGGUUCUCCACACAGAACCCUCUGAGGUUCUACAGGCUGUUCACUCAUGCAUCGGGGAAGGAACCAAAAGGAGGACCUGAAAGAAUGAUGCAUUUUUCUCAGUAAGAGUCCAAGGAGGCGGCCAGGCAGAGGGAUGUUGUCUCGGGCUCCCAGGAGAAAGGUUGCUGCAAAGGUCACCUGUCCUUGCAGAUGCUGCAUGCCAACUGAUAGAAUGUACUUGACUUGAAUUAAAGACCCCUGCCCCAUUUUAUGACCUGUAUGGUUUUUGGCAUUGGUUAAAAGAUAUAGACAAUGCCCACCCUUUCAUAAUUCAGUAUCUCCUGCCCAAACUCCAUCUGCCCUUUGAAUGUUUCCCUCACUUCCCUGACGUCAUCAUCUGUCUGGUUCUUCUUUGUCACGCCUCAGCUCAGGUGUCAUUCCUCUUGGAGCUGGAGUUAGAUGCUGCUUUGCUCUUCCCACAGCAAACUGGCUCGCACCUGCCACCUGUCACCUGGGUGAACUUGCCAAAGGUUGGCAUGUUAUCUAGACUGUCAGCUCUGUCAGGAAGGGCCAUAGCUGCCUUGUUGGUGACUGCUCAGUUUCUGGUCCAGGCACGGGAAAAUGCAGCGACACUUAAGGGAUGAGUUAGACGUGAGAGCUGAUGACUGUCACCCUCAAGUUUCCCGGCUGUCUUGAUGAUGCUUCUUAAGAUGAAUCUUCUUUAGGUUAAGUGUUGAAAAUGACUUCGUUUUCAUAGGAGCUUGUGCAUUUAUAGGUCUAAAAUGGCCCAAAUUGUACAAAUGACUUUUAUUUUAUUUUAUUCAUGUUAUUACAAAAUGGAGAUUGGUAGCAAGCAUGAAUUCUCAAUUCGGAUCAGCUGAUUUCAAUUUCAGUUCCAUCACCCUCAGAGGCUGUGUGACUCUGGGUAAAGGAUAGUAUUUUUCUAUGCCUCAGUUUCCUUGUUUUAAGAUAGAGGUAUUAAUAAGCAUGAUGGGGUUCUUGUGAUAAUGAUAUUGGUCAACAUUACAGUUUGAAGGUGAAAUGCCCCCCAUAGAUUCUUCAUGUGUUAGACUAGGUAGGUGGUCCCCAGAUGGUGGGAUGCUGGUGUCGGAGACUGUAGAACCUCUGAGACAUAGAGCCUAGCCAGAUGGGGUAAAGGGCUUAUGGGUAAUGGCCAGACCUGCAUUCUGUACGGAACCUUGGCUCCUGACUGCCACACCAGUGUAAGCCACUGUCUGUACGCCUGCUGCCUCUGCCACAAGCUUCUACUGCCACGCCUUCCCCAACAUGGUAGACUGUAUCCUCCGCACCAUGAAGCAGAAUCGAUCCUUCUUUCUGUACAUUGCUUCUGUGAGUAUUCUGUAACAGCCAAGUACAUUUAUAAAGAACUUAUUUGCAGUGGUCCCCAAACAUGUAGACACAUCACCUGGAACUUUGUUAAAUAAAUAGCCAACCCUAUAAAUGGAACCUUUGCCUCUUAGUUAUUUAACUCCAUUCUGAAGAACCAUGUUGACUCGGCCCCAACACAAGGCAAACUCAAGGCCAAAGCAUCUUUUUUAGUGUGUGCCCACCCUUGAAUGGUGUACUCUUUUAUCUUCUGUGGUAUUUUGUCUUGAAUAGUCUUGCCUUUUACAUAAUCUAAUUAUACUCCCUUUCUUGUCUGCUGAAAGGCCAUUUUAUAUGGCAGGGAGAGUAUUGGCUGAGACCUAUGGGACUUCCUUCUCAAAGUCUUAAUGUGAUGGCCUCCUGGUAACGUGGGGGAAAUUAGGAGGAGGGUAAGGAGUGGGAGGAGGAGGAGGAAGAGGAGGCUGGAAACCAUGAGUUGCUCAUGUUGGUGUUCUGCCUGCCCAUGGUUUGACCUCGGUUGGCCUGGUUUCGAAUGUUUCUGGGACACAGAGGUAGGAGUAGGUAGGUUUGACCACAAGGAAGCACUGGGUGGUGAGGGCAGGAUGUACCAUGGGCAUUUAGAAUGAAUAGUUUACAGUAAAAAUAAUCAGAGUCCCGGUCUGACUGCAUGGCCACUCCAAGGCCAAGGAGUCCUCAGAUGCCACAUAAUCCGGUCUCAAAGGGGAGCUGUGGUUUCGGAGUCUGGGUGGCUGCAGUCCAUGAUUUAAAAAGCAAAGCUGGGCAUGGGAUCUAAGAUAGGAGGCUGGUCAGGGGCCAGAAGUGAUGAUUCUGUUUGAAAUUGCAUGCAAGCAUUAAAAACAAAACAAAACAAAAAAGGUGAUAGAGGAAGAAAGAAAAACAAAAUGCUUAAAAUGUAAGAGAAACCGUCUUUGGCAAUCCUUUUCUCUAAAAAAAAAGAGGGAAGGAAAGGAAAGGAAGGAAGGAAGGAAGGAAGGAAGGAAGGAAAGAAAGAAAGAAAGAAAGAAAGAAAGAAAGAAAGAAAGAAAGAAAGAAAGGAGCUAACAUGCAAUCAGGGCCUGGUUGACUCUGAGGGCUCUUGGGUUUCAGAAUGAGUAGAUCAUUAUAGAAACAAGGUGGCCUCUGGGUGGGAUAACCUACAGGGAGAGUCACUCCCUAGAGGCCUGGCCAUGUCCUGCCUUGCAUGUGAACACUUGCAUGGCCUCAAUGGGCACAUAUGACUGCUGACUCUUAUUACAGCAUGUGUCCCUUUGAUGUGAACACUGAUGAUCGAACCUUUUACAGUGUCCUAUUGCAUAGUGCACCACAGUGCCUCCCUCAGCCAGCUGUCUACCCCACCCCCACCACCUCAGGAGGGAGAUGUGAAAAUUAGAUAACUUUUAUGGAAAGGGAGAUCACCCCCCCCUCCAAGUUUUAGGAAGGUGACCUUGCUUGUUCAAGGCCAGGAAGAGACGAAACAGUAGUGGUUGGUAUGAGGCUCUUGACAGGGUCAUGGGGAUUCUGUGUUGCCAGUUGGUUGGGAGGGUCAGACAGAAAGUAAGGACGAAGGCUUACCUGACCUUUGUUUUGUGGAAUUAUUACUAGAAACCAGAAUAUAACAUUUCUGUGCCCUGGGUGGCUGAAUUUCAAGUGGUUAAAAAGGUCUAGGAGAAAAGGAUUUGACCUGGGUAGAAUCCCCAUUCUGCUACUCACACACUGUGGGGCCAGUUCCUGACUGCUUCUGAACCUUGACUUCCUCAUCUGUAAAAUAGGAGAGUUGUCAGUCCUGUCUCUUGUGGCCUCAAUGGGCACAUAUGACUGGCGACUCUUAUUACAGCAUCUUUCUCAUCAGCUCUUCCCUCGGCAUGUUAUAUUUAUGUGGUAAGGGAAUUACCUAUUUUUGUUCCCAUUUUACAGAUUACGACACAAGGCACAAUGGAGAGGUUAUUUGCUCAGAUUCAGGAAAGCAGAACUAGAGUUAUAGCCUAGGACUUUGAAUGCCAAACCUGAGUAACUCCCAGCUGUGCUGUGCUGUGCCCUCUGCUGGCUUUCCUGCCAUUGUUGACCAACAUUGAUGCUCCAGGGUCUGAAAUGGCAGAAUCGGG